UUCAUCCCCUCCUCAAAAUCCUAUCCUCCUCCGCAAUCCUCCCAGGCGCGCACGCGCAGGCGCAGCUCACCCGCCCCGCCGGCCGCCGCCGCCGGGGCGACCUUCCAGGGCCUAGAGCUCGCACCCGCCCUAGACCCUCCACCGACCUCAUCCAUCUCAUUUUCCAACUCUGGUGAGCUUCUUCAUCGCGCAUUCGCCCCCGCUCUCCUUCCUCGUCUCCGGCCGCACCCGCCGCCUGCUCCCCCGUGUCUCGGAGUUGUCGUCCGAAUGGCGGCGUGGCAGGAGAGGGCCUUGCGGCGCUGCCUCCUCUUGCCGUUAUAACUGUUUAUCCUUCCUGCGGAGCCGUUGGUGCUUCCGCGCCCGUUGUGCGUUCGCCCCUGGUCCUUUGCCAGUUGCCACUCGCCGGAUAUGGCGCUGCAGGCUCAGCAGCUGCCCUCCUUCUCCUUCACCCCUCCGGCUCUCCGGACCUUCCGCCCUAGCCGCCCCAUCAAAUAUCCGCCUUCCUCCAGAUGCUUCCUUCAUUCCCACUCCCACUCCCAAUUCCACACCCCGCGGCCGCGAAGGUACCCAGUCGCCCACCCUCCGCAUCUUUUCUUGCAAGGACAGGGAAACGAAGGCGACGGCGAGGACGACGGGGAGGAGUCGGUGGAAAUCUGGGGUGGACCUGCCAGCACCUUCCGAGAUGAUACUGAUGGGGAGGGCGGCGACGCCUCGGAGGACGAAGAAGAGCUCCAAGAAUCCGACGAGGAUGAGAAGGAAGGCGGAGAGGGGGUGGGCGAGUGGGACCCGCCUGUCAGCCCCUUUCGAACGCAGCGCGAGGAACCGCACUACCAAGAAGAAGAGGGGGAGGAGGACGAUGCAGGAGGAUGCCAGUGGUUGGACCCGAUCUCCUUCUUUCCAAGCCAAGAAGGGGUGAGCGGCGUUUGCAGCAGCACCAGCAUGGCAACCAUGGAAGCAAUCCUCGCCUUCGCUAGGAGCCCGGCAGCGGUGGGGGACUCAGCAUUCACCGAAUUCUUGGCCAGUUACAGCCACGAGGACCUCAGCGAGGGUGCCUGCGUGGAAUUGAUGAGGAGGAUGUCUGAAGAGGGGCUGGCAUUGGGCUGUGUCCACCUGUUCCAGUGGUUGCUGGGGAAGCAGCCGGUGCCGGUGUCACCACAGGUGUGGCUGGCAGCUAUUGUUGCGCUUGGGCGGUGCCAGAUGGCUGAUGAGGUCUUGGAGAUUGUGGCAAGAUUACCUCCUGAGAGGGAGUUCCGCGAGGCAGUUGUUUACAAUGCCGCGAUAUCUGCUUUUGCCUACUGCAAGAGAUAUGAUGGUGCCUGGAAAAUUUUUGAGCUCAUGGAAAAGAACAAUGCCCAGCCUGAUCACAGGACAUCCUCAAUCAUGCUUAAUAUUAUGAAGAAUACUAAGGCAUCUGCUAAGGAUGCAUGGGAGUUUUUCCAACGGAUGAACAGAAAAGGAGUUAACUGGAGCUUGGAUGUUGCUGCUGCUUUGGUCAAUAUCUUUUGUUGUCAGGGGCUCAGAAAGGAAGCUUUAAUCAUCCAGUCAGAAAUGGAGAAGAGAGGAAUUGCAUCAAACACAAGCAUAUAUAACAUGUUAAUGACAGCAUUCUGCAAAUCUAACCAAAUUGAAGAAGCUGAGGGGCUCUUCGUUGAGAUGAAAGAAAAAGGUUUGCAACCAACAGUAGCAACUUAUAAUAUCCUUAUGGAUGCUUACAGUAGGAGAUUGCAGCCAGAAGUUGUUGAGUUGUUACUUCUGGAGAUGCAAGAUUUGAGUAUUACUCCAAAUUCUGGAUCAUACAAUUGUCUCAUAAGAGCCUAUGGUCGGCAAAAGAAAUUGAGUGAAAAGGCUGAAGAUGCUUUCUUGAGGAUGAAAGCACAUGGCAUUAAGCCAUUAUCUUCUUCAUACACUGCACUACUUUGUGCAUAUGCAGUUAAUGGACUACAUGAAAAAGCUCAUACCAUAUAUUUGGACAUGAAAAGAGAAGGACUUAAACCUACGUUAGAAACAUAUACAGCUUUAAUUGACACUCUUAGGAGAGCUGGUGACACAGAGAAUCUAAUGGAGACAUGGAAAACUAUGAUUGAUGAAAAGGUUGGCGGAACAAGAGUCAUAUUCCACAUGAUACUUGAUUGUUUAGCAAAACAUGGGUUGUACAAGGCAAGGGAUGCUAUAUAUGAAUUUGGAAAGAUUGGUUUAAAGCCUACUGUCAUGACAUAUAACAUUUUGAUGAAUGCUUAUGGGAGAGGGGGGCAGCAUUACAAAUUGCCCCAACUCCUGAAAGAGAUGGCUGCUCUGGAACUAAAACCAGACUCCAUUACAUAUUGUACAAUGAUAUAUGCAUAUGCCCGUGUUCGUGACUUCUCGAGGGCGUUCUAUUACCACAAGCAGAUGGUUCGAAGUGGGCAAAUACCUGAUCGUAGGUCGUACAGAAAACUGUUGAAUACUUUGGAUGUGAAGACUGCAAGAAAGAAUAUAAAGGAUAAGAGUGCAAUACAAGGGAUCAUAAAAGGCAAGGCUGGCUUAAAACCUAGGAAGGAAAAGAAAGACGAGUUUUGGAAGAACAGAAGAAAGCGGUCUAUGCUGAACCCAACUUAUGGACACCAAAGAAAAAGAUUUUUGUGAAUUUAUCUUCGGUGUACAUUCAAUUGUGUUCAAGAUUUACAUCCUAUUUCAUGGUCCCUGCAUUUUCACUCUUGAAAGUUGAAAUGUUAAGUUGGAGCCUGUGUUAUAGAUAUGCAUUUUCCUUUUCCGCUCUCAGCAACCUGAAUCAACUUUAAAGGUUUGUCUUUGAACAUGAUUGGCCUUGAAAACCAUUCAGGAUUUCAAGAAGAGAUGUUGCUCAUAAGUUUGUCGCUCCAUAUUUCGCGACUCCUAAGUUUGUGACAGCUGCAACAUGCUUGACAGGUUCUUAUAUAGAAUUACGGAGAGGAUGUCUCCAAAUCAACGACAAGCGGAAUCUACAGUCUGAAUGCAAUGCUGCUACCUCCUCUCAUUGAAAUGACAAAAGGUGCAAGUUUGCUACACAAGAAUUUCAAUCGUAGAACUAAAAUUGUUAUGCUUCAGAAUUUGGAGCUAAGAGCACCAGUGCAUUGGUUUCAGACUUCAGAGAACAACAGGAAUACUCUAGCGUAUGGUGUUUCUGAUGGCUCUGCAGAGUUUCCAUGACAGCUGGCGUCAGAAAGAGUUUCCUUAACAGCUCCAACUCUCAGUUAUAUCUGCAAAACGAAGUCAAAGAAAAACAGGUUGAGCGCAGCCUUUUUUUUUUAUCCAGAAAAAUGCUUCAGUAACAGCAGACAUGACCAGGCAACUGUGCAUUCAGUAACAAGGAAAGACAAACACUUUGAUCCUUGGAGUUGAGCAUUCCCUUCUGCAACAGUAAUAACUCGCCAAAAUAUUAAAUAUCUCCCUUCUUA